GCUUGAAGCUAACAACGACAAAGAGUGCGUUUGCUGUCCAGAUUUGGUGAUACUUACCCCCACCCCAACAAUACUAUUCCGCUCUAGCAUCGUCAGUCCGUGUUGCCGGUUUCACAGAAUAUUUUAUCCCCAACAUUCUCCCACCCGUGAAACAGGUAACAGGUCUGACAUUUAAUUGCCACAUUCACAUGGAAUGACAAAAAUUGAACGGUACAAUUAAUCACCCAGAAUGCCAAAAACAAUCGUCGCAGUGCGUGUAGCUAUCGAACUGAGAGAGAGAGAGAACAAACGCUCCCACCGGGAUCGAAAAUAACGAAAACACACACUCUAUCUUUUGUUAACACCACUGCCACACAGAAUUCAUAUUUGGUGGUUAUUCCGUAGGAAAGAAUUUUAAUGCUGCGCUGCUUUUCAGGCACUGUUUCCCCAACCUUGAACAUUUUGGGCAUAUUUGCACAUUGGUAACUUGUGCUCUCGAGAUGGCAACACUGAAAGAAACUUUGGAGUAAUGACAACUACCGCUUGGUUCUUAAAAAUACUAUUCGUGAAAAUAUUUGAGAUAAAUAGAUUUGCGCUUGUAGUUACUACAAUGCGGUUGAAAUCGCUAUGCUGUUAAGGGGUUGAUUUAACUACUUUUAAAUAGUUAAGAAAACUAUAAUUUUGCAUUGAAGACAAACACAUGUUUGCUCGUUUUUACCAUGGGCAUGGUAAUAGUAACAACAAUCCUCGAUACUAAUGACAUUGCAAACUACGCCAUUUUUCCAUCGACUUGUGUGUUUAUAGAUGAAUGAGAAUGCUCGGAAAGUGAUUGAUUUCUUUGUUCAUUCAUUUAUAUAAUUAUUCAAAACUAAUAAUAUUUAUUUUGCACAGAGCUAGUUUGAUCAACACAGUGAUGGUCACGUCCUGCUGCAUUUUUUAUGUUACAAAAUUGAGCGACGAUCUACUCUGUUUUUACUUCUAUCGGACAUUGUACAAACGAAACCCCGUAGCUCAAAAUUUCUCCAAAUGGCAAGGAGCUUGUGAACCAAGAAAUAAUAGAUAAAACACAAGCAUUAAGUGCAGCUUGGCAACUUCGCUAGGAGAAGAACAUUAAAUUCUUACCUUUUAUAAUAUAAUAAUGCAACUAGUUUUGCAAAAACCUAUUGAUUAAUAAACAAUGCUUUAGCCGUAAGAA